AACGAACGCUGGCGGCAUGCCUAACACAUGCAAGUCGAACGCCUCGGUUCGCCAGGGAGUGGCGCACGGGUGAGUAACGCGUGGGAACCUGCCCGGCAGUACGGGACAACCGCGGGAAACUGCGGCUGAUACCGUAUACAGCCUGAGGGCGAAAGAAAUUCGCUGUCGGAGGGCCCGCGUCGGAUUGAGGUAGUUGGUGGGGUAACGGCCUACCAAGCCUGCCGAUCCGUAGCUGGUCUGAGAGGAUGAUCAGCCACACUGGGACUGAGACACGGCCCAGACUCCUACGGGAGGCAGCAGUGGGGAAUAUUGACAAUGGGCNCAAGCCUGAUCCAGCAAUGCCGCGUGAGUGAUGAAGGCCUUAGGGUUGUAAAGCUCUUUCGCCCGCGACGAUGAUGACGGUAGCGGGAGAAGAAGCCCCGGCUAACUCCGUGCCAGCAGCCGCGGUAAUACGGAGGGGCUAGCGUUGUUCGGAAUUACUGGGCGUAAAGGGCGCGCAGGCGGCUGCUCAAGUCAGGCGUGAAAGGCCUGGGCUCAA
rnacentral:rRNA from 1 species